rnacentral:lncRNA from 1 species
GAUCUCAGCUCCAACACCAAGGCCUCUGUGUUCCCUAGAGAAGCCACUCUGGAUGGUCUCUCUGAAGUCUGCCUCCUUCCCUGGCCAGCUCUACAACUUAGAAUGCCUGAAUAUAUACAAAUAUGAACAAGACCCACAAGGACUGCUCAUCACCCCAGUAUUCCAUUUACAACAUCCUGAAUGAACUCCCGACCAGGCCUAUAAUUCUCUCUUGCAGCCAAAUAUCCUGCUUACUCCUGGUAUCUACCUGGUCAGCAGACCUCAUGAGUUAUCGCCCAGUGACAAAACCAUCCCAAAGAUGCACCAGUCCAGCACAAAGUAUGACUGUCAAUCUCACAAAAGAUGUAGGGUUCUACGAGGAUACUCAGAGUAUAAGAAUUACGCUAAGUGAAAUAAGCCAAGCCCAGAAAGACACAUACUUUAUUAUUUCAUGUAUCUGUGGAAUCUAAAAGAGUCAAAUUCAUGGCAGCAGGGAGAGGGCUGAAGAAGGGGGAGAUGUUGAUCAAAGUUUCUAUGUAUACAAAGACCAAACCAUCACAUUAUGCCUCAUAAAUAUAUACAAUUAUUAUUUGCUAAUUACAAGUAAAGCAAUACAAGAAGAAAAAAAGGAAUCAUAAGUAAAUCCAUGACAAGUGAAAACGCAAUGGAGAGAAGGGAAUCAAUGAUUGAAGAAGAGAAAGGACAGUGGAUUUACAACUGCUUCGAAAGAGUGAUUUGACUGGCAAAGGACUGGGGAGAGGUCCUU